UACGUAGGGGCAAGCGUUGUCCGGAUUUAUUGGGCGUAAAGGGCGCGCAGGCGGUAUAUCAAGUCAGCUGUCAAAGACUGGGGCUCAACCCUGGUAUGCGGUUGAAACUGAUAUGCUGGAGUGCUGUAGAGGCAAGUGGAAUUCCCAGUGUAGCGGUGAAAUGCGUAGAUAUUGGGAAGAACACCGGUGGCGAAGGCGACUUGCUGGGCAGCAACUGACGCUGAGGCGCGAAAGCCAGGGGAGCAAACGGGAUUAGA
rnacentral:rRNA from 1 species